GAUGAAGAACGUAGCGAAAUGCGAUAAGUAGUGUGAAUUGCAGAAUUCAGUGAAUCAUCGAAUCUUUGAACGCACAUUGCGCCCCUUGGUAUUCCAUGGGGCAUGCCUGUUCGAGCGUCAUUUGUACCUUCAAGCUUUGCUUGGUGUUGGGUGUUUGUCUCGCCUUUGCGUGUAGACUCGCCUUAAAACAAUUGGCAGCCGGCGUAUUGAUUUCGGAGCGCAGUACAUCUCGCGCUUUGCACUCAUAACGACGACGUCCAAAAGUACAUUUUUACACUCUUGACCUCGGAUCAGGUAGGGAUACCCGCUGAACUUAAGCAUAUCAAUAAGCGGAGG
rnacentral:misc_RNA from 1 species